rnacentral:rRNA from 1 species
GACGAACGCUGGCGGCGUGCUUAACACAUGCAAGUCGAACGGAAAGGCCCUGCCUUUGUGGGGUGCUCGAGUGGCGAACGGGUGAGUAACACGUGAGUAACCUGCCCUUGACUUUGGGAUAACUUCAGGAAACUGGGGCUAAUACCGGAUAGGAGCUCCUGCUGCAUGGUGGGGGUUGGAAAGUUUCGGCGGUUGGGGAUGGACUCGCGGCUUAUCAGCUUGUUGGUGGGGUAGUGGCUUACCAAGGCUUUGACGGGUAGCCGGCCUGAGAGGGUGACCGGCCACAUUGGGACUGAGAUACGGCCCAAACUCCUACGGGAGGCAGCAGUGGGGAAUAUUGCACAAUGGGCGGAAGCCUGAUGCAGCAACGCCGCGUGCGGGAUGACGGCCUUCGGGUUGUAAACCGCUUUCGCCUGUGACGAAGCGUGAGUGACGGUAAUGGGUAAAGAAGCACCGGCUAACUACGUG